AAAUGGAUUCCAACAACCACAGCUUCUCCUCACCCACCUCCUCAAACGACAUUGAGCAGAUGCCGGAAACCCCCCACCGCGGCGGCUCCUACCACCGGCGCGCCCACUCCGACUUCUCCUCCUUCCGCCUCCCCAACUUCGACGACCUCCUCCUCUUCGACCCUUCCGACCUCGACCUCUCCUCCUUCCCCUCUCCCGUCCCGCCACGUGGCGCCACCUCCACCUCCUCCGCCGCCGUCCCCAUGCCGAUCGAUGACUCCGACGACUCCUCCGCCUCCCGCCCCAGGCCCAGCUCCUCCGCCACCGCCGCUCAUUUCCGCAGCCUCUCCGUCGACUCCGACUUCUUCGACGGCCUCGGAUUCUCCGGAGACGCCGUCUCCGGGAAGGAAGUCGUUGGGGGUAAGAGGCCCGGCGCCGGCGGCCACAGGCAUAGCAACUCCAUGGACGGCUCCUUCGAUUCUGAGCUCUCUCUCGAUGGUCUCAAGAAGUCCAUCACUCCUGAUAAG
rnacentral:lncRNA from 1 species